rnacentral:lncRNA from 1 species
AAGAAUAAAACUCCAACUCGUGUCUUCCUUCCUUUUGUAGGAAUUACGUGGGGAAAACCAUCCGUAGAGCGUAUUGAACGACCUGAAGCCCUUGAUCAUCCGACGAGGGCUAAAUUUGUAAAACUUUUUCGAGUCAUCCAAGGAUUAACUACAGCCGUAGGAUAGAACUUGGCAAACCCUUGUCCACCACUUACCCCUGAAUU